rnacentral:lncRNA from 1 species
UCAUUCAACAACUUAUUUUAUUACUGAUUGUUUCUACUACAAGUGGCAAAAAAAUUGAUAAUUGAUAUUCGAGAUCUCAAAUUUGAAUUCUAAUUAAUUCAUAUUUUCAGUUAAAUUUAUUUUUUUAAAAAAAUAAACAAAGCGAAUAGUAUGCUAUUUUUCUCUAAAAAAAAAACAACUUAAUUAUUUUAUUUGUCCUUUUUAUCUAUUCUUUUUUUCUUUUUUUUUUUAA